GAUAGAUGGCCGAGUGGUCGAAGGCGCACGAUUGGAAAUCGUGUGUGCGCCUAAAGCGUACCGAGGGUUCGAAUCCCUCUCUAUCC
rnacentral:tRNA from 2 species